rnacentral:rRNA from 1 species
ACAGCAGCAGCCACGGUAAUACGAAGGGGGCUAGCGUUGUUCGGAUUUACUGGGCGUAAAGCGCACGUAGGCGGAUCGAUCAGUCAGGGGUGAAAUCCCAGAGCUCAACUCUGGAACUGCCUUUGAUACCGUCGAUCUGGAGUAUGGAAGAGGUAAGUGGAAUUCCGAGUGUAGAGAUGAAAUUCGUAGAUAUUCGGAGGAACACCAGUGGCGAAGGCGGCUCACUGGUCCAUUACUGACGCUGAGGUGCGAAAGCGUGGGGAGCAAACAGGAUUAGAUACCCGCGUAGUCCCUGUCUCUUAUAC